GACGAACGCUGGCGGCGUGCUUAACACAUGCAAGUCGAACGGAAAGGCCCUGCUUUUGUGGGGUGCUCGAGUGGCGAACGGGUGAGUAACACGUGAGUAACCUACCCUUGACUUUGGGAUAACUUCAGGAAACUGGGGCUAAUACCGGAUAGGAGCUCCUGCUGCAUGGUGGGGGUUGGAAAGUUUUGGCGGUUGGGGCUGGACUCGCGGCUUUUCAGCUUGUUGGUGGGGUAGUGGCUUACCAAGGCUUUGACGGGUCGCCGGCCUGGGAGGGUGACCGGCCACAUGGGGACUACGGUACGGCCCAGACUCCUACGGUGGGCAGCAGGGGGGAGUAUUGCACAAUGGGCGGAAGUCUGUUGCGACAGCGCCGCGUUCGGAAUGACGGCUUUCGGGGUGUAAACCGCUUUCGCCUGUGACGAAGCGUGAUUGACGGUAAUGGGUAAAGAAGCACCGGCUAACUACGUG
rnacentral:rRNA from 1 species